GUUAACUUUUAAUACACGAAGAAAACGCGAUUUGUUGUAAAACAAUGAUGGCGGAAAAUAUAGCAGACAUCUUGAGAAAUUUGUUUGGAAAUGGAAGAUUCAUCUGAAGAUGAAGUUGAUUUACCAUAUAUUGGACUACAAAAUUAUGAGAGAGCUUGAUAAAGGGCAAAAUGCCAAAAUGGAAAAUACUGUUGUAUGAAGAGUCAGCCAUGGAAGCUGCUCUUAAAGAUGCAGCGAAUGGUAUGAGUAUAAAACGAGCAGAGGAAAAAAAAAAUAUGUGCCAAGAAACACAUUGUCCGAUAAACACAAAGGCAAAUCGCCCUUGGGUAGGAAGAUGGGCCCUGAUUCAUUUUUAAAGUUUACUUCUGAUACCGCAUAACAUGCCAUGUUAUGUUGCAGCAAUGAAUCGAGUCGUAUUGCGUACGCGUACAGUAUGACGUCUUGUAAAUAAUAAUAAAUAGAAUAUAAACAAUUAACAAUAUUUGAUAACUAAACAGUUUUUGUUAACCAAGAAACAAUUAAAUCUCAUUAGAGCGGCUUUAUUAUAUCGCUUUUAAGAUAGGAACAAAAAAAAUGUGAAAAUACGCAAUAGUGAAAAACAAAAACAUACAUAUUUCUAAUUUGUAAAAAAAUACUUUGUUACGUUGUUUCUGUUCCAAUCUCAAACUUUGUCUACACACAUAAUACCUUUAAUAAACAGUAAAAAAACUUAGACGAGGAAUUUCCAAAUUAUACUUUACUUAAUAAACAAACAUCGUUCUUUGUAACGUAAAUUCAUCGAAUAUGCGCACGCAUGCGUAAAAUAUACGAGAAAUGCGAGUAACAAAAUGCAUUCGUGUGUAACGUUUCCUUACUCGUUACUAGACGGCGCACCCGUUACUCAGUAACGAAUACAUACGGUUUGCUACAGCUCUAUAUAUUUUCAUGUUAGUUGUGCUGUCCCUCUUUGUUCCGUGAGUGCUGUAAGUAAAUUCAAAAUUUAAUGAGGAUUAUUCAUUAUAUUACUAAACGAUCUUUAUGAAUUGCCAUUUUGAUGUUUAAAAUAUAGAACCAAAUAAAAUUUGAAGCCCAAAUAGUACAAUACUAUCAUUCUGGAUCCAUGAAUUAAAACUAAUGCAGCCGAAAUCGCACAUGACGACUACUGGCACAAACAUGUGACGAACACUGGCAAACACGAAAAUUUGCAUGACGACUACUGGCUCGAAAUCACACUUUUUUCAAAAUUAUAAAUCUACAAAAAUAAUUUGUUUUUAUCGAAGAGUGUUGGAUAGCAUUGUAGAGUAAAGUUUGAGGUCAAACAUGUAGGGGCAGUAAUACACCUACGAGGUUAUGUACACAAUUUUUUUUUUUCUAAAACUCUUCUUAGCAUGAUGACUACUGGUACAUUUACCUUACUUAUAGAUUUUUUUAAUGUUUUGUAAAAUACUGUUAACGGAGGAUACAGCUAUGUAACGGAGGAGAAAUUGCAUGCAAGAACAGCAUAAUAUUAUGCAAAUCAAUAGAGAUUUUAAUAUGUAAUGUAAUUCUUUAAAUGACAUUUGUACAUAUAUAUAUAUAUAUAAACUUCAAAAUUGGACUUUAUUAAUAUCCUAAAGCCUUCUCCAACCUGGUCAUUGAUAAAAAAAAAAUCAGUUAAUUAAAUUUUAAAAACUACGUACAGCGAAACUCAAUAACAGUAGACAAUCUUAAUGAAUAAUGAGCAAAACAUGACAGUUCAAAGCCCGCAACUAAUUCUAGCCUAUUUGUGGGAAUUCUGAUGUUAUAUUUUGAAACAAGUAUUGCCCACGUUGGUUUAUAGUUGGGCAGGGGCAGUCCAACACUUUCAGUAUGUCUCUGGAAUCAAUUACAUAAGUCUCAUCUUCAGUUGGAAAAAUGAACUUAUCACCACAAGAUCUCUUUAGAAAUUUGACAGAGAAUUCAUCUGUUUGUUGAACUGCCAGUACAAAAGCGACAUACUGGCGUGAAAUUUUUAUCCAGUGUACUGUUACCACUACAUAGUCAUCAACUUUUGCUGAUGCACACGGUACGAGGGUCACACUAUCUGGUUCAGAGGCUGAUGAAGCACUUGAAUCAGUGUAGACAUCCUGAAAACAUAGUUUACCUGGUGUAGAACCUGAUAUAAAUGAUGUUAAGGAAAGGGAAAGUGUAGGUAUAUUUUUAAAUAGUUUGCAUAAGUAACAGAGAUUUAGUGCUACCUUGAGACAGAAUAUCAAGCUUCAUAUAAAUUAAUUUGGUAAAAAACUGAAAGUGAGAAUAUUUGUGAUUAAAUUAGGCAGUAUAGAGUGCAACAAUAAAGGAUACAAAGCUGAAUGGUGCCAAGCCCAUAGUGAGGACACGAAUUUGUUCGUGCACACUGCAGACAACUCAGACGAUUCAUUUGUAAAGUACAGAAUCCAUUAUUCCAAAUUACUUUAUGGACCUGCAUUGUUCCCUUGAAAGCUGGAAUACAUUUGGGUAAAUGUUCAUUUUCAAUAUCCUUAAUUUCGCUUUCUCUUACAUUUAGGAUCUUGAUGCCAGAAAUCUCCUUCUGUAACACUUCAUACAAUUUCUGAAAAUUGGGAAUAUCUGUACCUGUGGCUACAAGCCUGUCUGCAGUUCUUUUAACACAUCCUCCAAUGCCAUCUGGUGCACCGUUGCCAUGGCCAGCUUCAGAAAAAUGCCAGUGAAUGGCUCCUCUCAUAUUUAGAGCAGGAGCGAGAAAUUUUCUUAUUAGCUGGAACAUUUUACGGUUUUUGUAUUGCGUAGUUGGUCCAUCACUGACAAAAUGGACCACCUCAGGGUUACAAACCUGUUUUUUUGAGUUCAUCGAUGACAGGGAGCAAGUGUGCACAUAUUGCUGGGGGAUUGUGGCGUAAACUUUCCGAUAAAGUACAGAAAGAUAAUGGUUGCACUUUCUGAGUUUCCUUUUGCAAAAUAUAUGCCACAACAGUGUGUAACGAAAUUUGAGGUUUUGACCCUCCAAAAUGUGCUGCCUGGAUUUCGCUUGCAUAUUUGCAAUUGAAAUUCUCGGAAAAAUCUAUGUGAAUCAAAAGUUCAUUAGAGGUAAGAUUCUUCUUCAAAUGAUCUAGUACAUGAUAUUGAUGUUUCAUGUUGGCUGUGUGCUGCAAGAAUUUGCAUAAAGACUCUUCAAAUGCAACAGCCAGAUCUCUUUUUUUGCAUUCAAUAUCUUCUUUUACUGUUUUGAUUGAAGUUUUCUCCUGUCCUUUCACAGAAAUGUGAUACAUUUUUGUAAUGUUGUGUCUUCUGUUCCAUCGUACUCUUUAAAAUUUUUAAUUUUUUUCUUACACUGGUGGCACUUCCUUUCAAGACAAGCUUCACUCUGAUUUUCGCAGGUAACUGUUUGUAUAAUUUCUUGUGAGGAACUUUGUGUAAUCAUUUUCAAAGAUUUCAAUUUUUGUAUGAGCAGAGAAAAGUUUUCAUGAACAGAACAUGUAUCUCUUUCUUUUACACAAGGAGGCACAAUCCAAAAUGGCUUAUAUUUACAAAAUAAGGCAUAUGAAAGUUUAUUUGGAUGUGUUUUACUGAACCGUUGGUACAAAUUUUUCAUUGUGUCAUUCAGAAGCCUUUUUUGUUUCUUUAUUUCCAUCUUUUUAAUGGUAUCCCUUUUCCCUGGUGUUAACCUGCUAUUUUCAUAUUUUUCUAAAAAAGCUUUGACACACUUUUUGUUUCUUGAAAUGCGCUCCUCACAUAGCCUCCUCAUAGCCUUUCCAGAUGUCAGCAUCUUUAUUUUAUGAAUAAAUCUGUAUUUCCUUACUAUUGCUCCAGAAAUUUUCCCCAGAAACUCACAUUUCUUCUUCCGUUGCUGCUCAUUUUUGUAGCUGGUCUUUGUUUGAUUUUGAAUAACUUCUCCGAAAAUUAAUUUUCUUCGAAUAAGAUGUGUCACUGACGUUUUGCCUAAAAGUUUUGUAACUGUUCUCCUUGGUGUCUCUUCCAUAUCUUCAUUAUAUUUUUUUUGUAAUCUGUGUUUUUGCUGUCUAUAAUUAGCAAGUUGCCUAUUCCUGUCCUUUAAUUUAUUUUCUAACACUGCAAUUUUUUCCUUCAUUUCCUGUCUGUUUUCUUCUCCUUACUUUCUUUCCACUUUCUUUUCGCUUAUCAUCAACUGUAAGAGGUCUACUUCUACGGUUAUUAGUACUUCCGGAAGUACUCGGAAUGCCAGGACUAAGAGGUUAUGCGUUUAAAUUUUCAAGCAUCUGAUUUAUAUCUUUUACAGAUGCUCUAUAUUUUCUAGUUUUUUCUCGCCAUUUUUUUCUCAGGUUCCUUUUGGCACGAUCACACAUUUUUUAAGAGUUUUAAUUUUUCCGUCUUCUACACGUUUCUUGAAUCUUUCACGUUCCUUUCUCUUAGAUUCCUCUUAUAGAUUUGUAUCGUUCUUAAUUUUCUCUCUGUAUUUUCGCAUUCUUUCUUUAGCUGUCAUCUUGUUGGUUUUGCCCAUUAUGAACUGUAAUAAACAAAAAGACCAUACAAUUUAAGAGUCUGUAACAAAUUUGUAAAAAUGUAAUAAUAACACUAUUUUUUUGUUUAAAUAUCCCAACACUAUAUGUUUAAGGAAUUUGUAAGCAAGUUACCAGAUAAACAUCUUUUUAUAGUCCAAGGAAGUAAUACUUUUUAAGCCAGACUAUAAAUUAAAUGUGACCUAAACCAGACCAAAGAUUUUAAAAGUAUACCUCAAUUACACAAAUGGUAUCAUCUGUUUCACAAACAGUAUCCUCCGUUACACCACAAGGAUACAUGAACGGAGGAUACCAUAUUGCACUAAAAGGCAAAACACAUGCUUUACUUUGAGGUUAUGCCUGUUGGCUAUUAGUAAGGUUAAACAUAUUGAUAUGUCACAAUUAAUUAGGAUUUAAGUGAUGUACUGGUAAUUGAAAUUACCUUUUUAGAUGAUGAACAGAUGAUACAUCUGGUGUAUAACCUUUCAAUGAAAUAUUUCUUCACACUUAUAAAACUGUUGAUUCAGCACACAUUUAUCCACUAAAAAAUUGUAAUCAAAGAUGGCCUCCUCCCAGCUGUUCCAAAGAGGAAACAAAGCACAUAUUGCUUACAUGUGAGGUUCUGUAGAACUUUUAUUUUAAUAUAAUGCAGAAUACACUAAAGCUCGUGACAAAGUUUAGAGUAACAUUACAGGUUUUAUAAAGGGAAAAUUGAAAAAAAACUAUACAUUGAAGAAACAAGAACACAUUUUAUUUGUUUUACUAGGAUUGUUAAACUUAUUGUCAUUAUUUUUUAUAUCGGAGAUAAUAUAAAAGAAAAUGUUUAAAUGAAGAUGUGACAUGUAAUGGAGGUAUACAUGUAUCCUCCGCUCACUAAAAAAAAAGUGUUUAAAACAGAUUUGACGUUAAAAAUUUAUAGAACGGAAGGGUUUUAGUUCCUGUGAUUUAGAAUCAAUUAAUUGUGUAUGUAUUGUUUCUUCUUAGUACUGCUGUUUUAGUGACAUUAAAUGUUCCCUUUUUGCAAGAAUGACCCAGACACAGUUUUAACUGACUAAACAAAUUAGAGUGAAAGAAUAAUAAAAAAUAUUACAUUCAGCUUUAUGUACAAGCUAACCCAAACUAAUAAUAUUUGUUAUAUUACAUUCUAAAUACUUUAAAUGCCAAUGCAAAAUGAAAUAACUAUGACUAAAAAUUGUGAAUUACCAAAUAAAAUUUAUUAUGCUAAUUAAUAGAGGGCAGUUGUUGUGCUCUGUCACAAUUUCUUCUCCCUUUGUAUUUUUUACCAUGCUCACGUAAGAUCUUUCCAGUUUACAUACAGGCAUAUUCAGUCACUUGGUAUCUUUCCUUUUUUUAUUUCAGAAUAUAUUGGCUUAUAUCUUUAUAGACAUUCAAAGCCUGAUGUUGUUAACACUGGUACCUAUUUUCUUUAGUCUUCAUAGUUCUUACGUGACAAAAGUUUUGCCUGAAAAUUGGUGAACUUACUUGAUUAAUGGUGUGCCUAAAGCUCUGUUACAAACGUAUUUAAUGCCAAUCAUUAAAGGGAAUUGUUAUUGCCUAUCCUGAUAAGCAUAUACUUAUUACUAUAAGUUAUACUGAACAUAUCGUCGGCUUAGAGGUAGUACUGACCAAGUCCAGAUUUAUUGAGUAAAUAUGAUUUAAAAAUUGAACGGCACUCCAAAAAUCAGGUUUGUGUUACAGAUUUGUAAACAUUCGUGUAUUAUGUUUGUAACACUAUGUGGAAGAAUGUCCAGUUAUGUAGAGAAGAAAAAAAUAAUUUACAAAAUAUUUAUAAUAGUUUUAUUACUUAAAGUUGGGACUUGGUCAUUUUUACCAAUCAAUGAAAGUGAUAUGACACAAAGAUAAGAUACACUAGAACUUUGAAAUACCUUGUACUACAAAAUAAUAAAAUAGCAGUUUACAACUAAGAGUCAUAAAACAAGUAUCGCCAAAUUUUUUUAUCUGCAUUAGGAUUAAAGAAAGCCUAUUGUUGCACAUAAAAGAAAUUGUUUGACAUUUCGCACACUUUUUAAAAUUGCAAUGUUGAUUUUAAAUAAAAAAAAGUACACAACCCCAUAGAGGGUAAAAAAUUGAACAGAAUGUCAAUUAUUUUCUAAUCUUCUUAAUAGCUCUAUCAUUGAAUUAAUCAGAUUCACUGUCUGAUAACACAUCCGGUUCAGGAUUUCUACAUUUCAGCUUCUCACAAGUUGGCAAAGCAUGAUAAAAAUGAUGAUAGUCUUGUGGAAUUACCUUUUGCGACACAUAAUUUCAACAAAUCCUUCUUUUUUUCCAAAGAAAUGGGAAUGUUCUUAGUGUACAGUUGCUUGAGGUCCUUAGGCAUCUUGGUAGGUCUUCCUUUGCCAUACACUUUCAGCUCCUUGUAUUCACUACUGUAACUGUAGCUGAAGAGGAUGGAUCCCUUUCUGUCUUUUUCAUACCUUAAUCAUUUUAUUUUCAGCCAGUGCACUGCAUGGUUCAUUGUGUCACGUGUUGUAUUGUGCAUUAUCUUCUUUGCUAAAUCUUUAGAUCUUUAAAAUCUUCAAACCUCAGUUCUUCAGUUGUAUACUGCGCACUGCUUUUAUUUUUAUUUCUUUUUGAUCUAGCUAGCUGGAAAAUGUUAAGCCAGUCUUGCUUGAGGUACACUGGGACUUUUUUUGCACGACUCCAUAGCACUGUGUUUGGAAUCCACUUCCAUGUGUGAAUGACCCUUUUCCAUGAUUUGUGUUCAAUAACAUUGAAAUGAAAAUUUUGUACCACAAAUAACAACAGGGCAGCUAUAAACUGAUUCCUGUUCUCCCCGCUACAGGUAUUCGAAAACAGUGAAAAUUCUUCUAUUUUGGCCGGUAAGGUUUCAAACCAUCUGAGUAGAGCUGUUCCAAUUUCUGAACUACCUCUCUGACCGUUGACCUCUGUCCAUGCAGAGCAAUAUCCUUUGUUGGGUGGAGAGGCUUCGUAGACAGUCAAAUUGUAUGCUGAAAGUUUUCUACUGUAGUAAAUGGGCGAUACCUCGGAACGGUAUCUGGAGGACACUUUCUAAAUCGAACAAACAACUCAUAAAAGCAGAAUCAAUAAUACAUCUCACUUUAUCCUUAGCUUUACAUGACAUCUCUUCGUCUUGCCUCUUUUGGACUCUCCUUCGAAGUGUUGUUUCUCAUCACCAGUUGCUGUUUCAUAGUUUGUGCAAAUUAAGCAGUGGUCUUUUUUGGGCUUGAAAAAAGACAGGUUUUAUUCACUGCAAAAUACAUGCAGAUACACCCCUGCAGAAGGAACAGAUUCAAUAUUUUGUUCAUUGCAUUCCUUUUUGAACAAUUCAUACACUUUACUUAUCGAUAACUUGGAAUCAAGAUACUUUCUUUUAUCUUUGAAAGAUUUGUGCAAUGGGAGUGCAUGACUUGAUGUAGGCUUUUGGACAUACGCCAUUGUUUAGCACAUGUAUGUCUGCAAAAAAAACACAAAUGACAAAAAACACAGUAGCACCUGUGUUUCCGUACCAUGUGCGUCUCUGCCUGAGGACGGGAGCAGAUAGCAGUUCCCGAAAUUUCUGUUUUAGAAAACUGUUGUGUUUGUUUCGUCUUUUCGUUUGGUCGUGUUUUUGUCUCGUUUUGACUGUUGUGCUGAAUUUUUUGGGUUCAAUAUUUUUUGUGCUGUCAUCAUUUGUGGGGGUUUUAUCGUUUCUCUUUUUGUUUUUUUGGAAAACUAUUGUGUUUGUUUCGUCUUUUCGUUUUGCUGUGUUUUUGUCUCGUUUCAACUGUUGUGUUGAAUUUUUUUGGGUUCGGAAUUUUUGUGCUGUCAUCAUUUGUGGUUUUUUUUUCGUUCUGUUAGUCCAUUUUUCUUUGUUAUUUCCUUGUUUGUUGACCAUAUUCCUGUUGUGGAAUAUUGUGUGGCGUUAAAUCCUGACAACAGCAAUUUUUGCUUAAUUUGUGUUUUUUGUCAUUUGUGGGUUUUUUUUUUUUGUAGUUUUCUUCUGCAGACAUACAUGUGCUAAGCAAUGGCGUAUGUCCAAAAGCCUACAUCAAGUCAUACUUUCUUUUGGUUGUUUUUCUGCAGUAAUGACUUUCUUGAGUUGGAAACCUCUCUAUGUGGUCCUUUAUCUUCAGAACAGAAUCGAGUGGUGUUCUGUUUGGUGGCACUUUCUUCCCUCUUCUAUCCUCUUCCAUGAAAUUUACUGUCUCUGAUGCUUUACAUAUUGCAGUGUCUACUGGACCAUGACUGAUACUCAGUGUUUUUAAGAAAAAUUUUUACAUACUCUAAUCUUCUCCUGAUCUUUCAAAAAGAAGUAGCAUAUAUCAUUGUACGGCAUGUUUUUUCUCUGAAAUCUUCAUCGAAUCUGGUUGUGCAUUUGUACAUGCAUUGUGUGCAAUCAACUGGUUUGGGUACUUUUGGUAACUGUAUGCGCCUACUAUUGGAUUUGUAUGGCAGUCCUUUACUGCGGAGUCUCUUAUUUGUGUUCCUUUUCCACUGAGAGGAAUUUGGUUUUUUCCACCUACUUUUCCUUGUGGACCCUUUGCCAGGGGUAUUUUCUGUAUUGUUUGUAGCUUGCAGUACUUCAGUGUGGUCAUUUUGCUGUGCUGUAUUUACAUGAACUUACACAUCACUUUAUUUGUCCCGUAUCGACAGAUUUCUAUUAACUUGAUUUGGCUGGUAAUCUGGAUCUGCGUCGCUGUCGUCAAAUUCUGGAGAAUCUUGGUCAUCAUAUGACAUUUUUCUUUCAGAAUUUCUGGAGUCCUGCAACAGCAUUAAGUUCAAUAUAAUAUUAAGAUAUCAAUUGUAAUUACUUAUUGAAAAUUGUGAAUUAGGUCAGUUCGAAACAAAAUUAUAAUAAAUUAUUUACUCAUAAAAUUAUUUCAAAUAUUUGUCCCUAGAUUCAACCACUCUGCAAUUAUUACAAGGAUAAAGGAUACUAUAACAUAACAUUGUCCUAGUAGGACAGUAGAAAAUCAUAUGACAUAAUAUGGUAUACAGAAUACUUAUUGCCCCAAUAUUGCUUGGAUUUUUAUUACCAUGUUUACAUUUAAUAAAGUGAAAUAUUAUAAAAAAAAAUUUGUUAUUUAAUUGCAGCCAACAAUAUUUCAGUUAAAUUAUAUUUACCACAUUCACAGCCAAAGUACUGAAAUGAAUUAUAAUAUCCAAACUUUGCAUAUAAAUGGUAUCAUACUCAGUUGGGAUUGUAAACUAGAUUCAAUAUUGAUUACAUCAUGGUAACAUAGUAAAUAUUUAAAUAAUAAUUAGGGUAUUUUUAAAAUAAAUAGCAAACACUAACCUCGUGAAAUGAGUGUGCAGUUUCAUUUAUGAGAUGGUCAGGUGUCGGAUCUAUCUCGUACAUUUAUAGCAGUUCCAAAUUGCCAUUUUCUGGUAUUUUCAAUGCCUUUCUAUUCAAGUCAGUUUCGCCAUCUGGCCUAUUUUCAAAUAAUGCUGCACCAUUUCUUGAUUCCUGGAUAUACAACAUGCACAUUGUAGGCUAACUUCAAGUACCUUUAAAAGUAUCACCAAAUUAUACAUUGUUUAACAUUAUGAAUGUCUGAUCAUGCUUACCAUAUUUCCAUCUCGGUCUUCAUUUGCAUCAUUACAAGACAAAUUAUUACAAUUUGUAACAAGACUGACAAUAUACUUCCCAUGGCUCAACAUUUUGUUUUCAUUCUGUCAUAGUCAAGUUAAUAGAAUUACUUAUACACCACAAACAAGACGUUUAACACAUUUUUAUAACAGUCAUUCACAAAACCAUAGACUAAUUGAUACUAGAUGUCCACAUAGUGCUAACUUGCAAGCUUACUAGAGCAUUGUUGCCAAAAUCUGUUGCAAAAAAAUUCAUUUACCAACAAGUGACAUUAAUUUAAGUCAAUAUGUAGGAAAAUUAUUAUUUUCAUUUCAGAAAUUUAGUAUAUUAUUUGUCUAGUGGUAAGAAUUACCACAUGUAACUUAGCCAUUCUGAAAAUGUGAAAUGCAAAUUGACAAAGUUGGACUUUAACACUUUUACAUAUCGCAAUCAGAUCAACAAGAGUGGCAAAAUUGAUUAAGUCCCAUUUAGUCAUUUUUACCUUUGUACCACCUUAUAUUCUGGACUUAAUAAUUUUCCAGAAGUUCUAUAUCUCAAUAACUUGCAAUGACAGGACUGGGACACUUUUACUACUGAAGGAUAUGGCUAUAAUGAAUUGUUUACAAGUAAAAUGGCCAUUUUCAAGAAAAGUGGACUUGGGCAGUUUUACCUCUAAGCCAACGAUAUAUGCUAUUGAUUUUAAUCCCUAUCCCUAAAUGCAGCAUUCAAGAUGGUUGGGUUAUGUCUUGAGUAUUACAUCACACAAUCUAGUACUAAAAACGUAUGGUGCUUGAAUUCAUGACUAAUACUAUAAAAGUAUUUUAAUUUACCUCCGCCAGCACUAUAACAAAAAGAUGGCGGUCUAAUGAAAUUUAAACAUAACUAGUACUAUCAAAACAAGAACUUAAGAAACUUGGCACAUCAUGUUUUUAAACAUAAUUUUCUUUAAUAUUUUUAUGAAUGUGCCACCAGUAAUAAAGAUGGCGGCCUACAGAUGAUACAUAUGAUGAUAUGUAAUGAAAAUAUAAAACAUACAAUGAUAAUUUUUUAAUUUAGGCGCCAAUGACUAUAAAAAUAAGGAUAGCGUCUUUUCAAAUUUGACUUGCCUCUGCAUAACCACUACUACAGGGUCCGGCAAAAAGACCUCCCAUAUUUCAAAAGGCAGAUACAAACAAAUGAAGAAAGAUACAGAAAAAAUACUUUUAAUUGUGAACAACAAAUACUAUGCCAUUUCAAAUUACUUGAUUUUAAACAUUAUGUCAGAUAAAUGGCGUCCUCCAUUUUUGACACAUUGACGAAGCCUUUCCUGGAAGUUGUCCAUAGUUCGUGUCAUUUCCGGUGGAAUGGCAGCCACUUCCUGGGUGAUUGCCUCCUUAAGUGCUUGCAGGGUUGUGGGACGAUGUUUAUAAACUUGUGCCUUUUAAUGUCCCCAAAGAAAAAAAGUCACAAGGUGAUAAAUCAGGCGAUCUUGGGGACCAGGUGAUGUCUCCUUGCAAAGAGAGAAGACUUCCAGAAAACAACUCUCUCAAAAUUGCUAGAGAUCGCCGCGAAGUGUGAGCUGUGGUGCCAUCUUAGAGACCAACUGGUUUAACUUAGGUUGGAGGAAGGUCUCAAUCAUGUGACAGUAGCGAUUCGAAUUAACCGUUACCGUAAGCCCAUCUUCAAAAAAAUACGGACCCCACACACCGAAUUCUGCAACGGCGCACCAAACUGUCACACGAGGGCUGUGAAGUGGUCAUUGGUAAAGUUCCUGUGGGUUUUCUGUUGCCCAGUAGUGGAAAUUUUGUUUAUUUACAGUACCUGACAAGUGGAAGUGGGCCUCAUCAGAUGAAAUCAACACAGCACCAGGGGGAAUGUUCUGAAGAAUGUCCUCACACUCAGCUCUACGAGUUUCAAAAUCUCUCUCACUUAAUUCUUGGGAAACCAUUAUUUUUUAUGGGUGCAUGUGAAGAUCUCUGUGCAGGAUUCUUCCUACACUCCGAUCAGACAAUCCUAGGACAGCUGCCUGUUUAAGUGCUGAACGCUUUGGAGAUUGCUGGAUGGAUGCUCUCACACGUGCCACAUUUUCCGGCGUUGUAACAGUCCGAGGUCGGCCAGGCGAUUUUCUUUUCAGUGCAGAAUCUGUUGCUCUAAAGUUUGAUACCCAAACGUGAAUAGUUUUUCUAUCCGGAACAGAAUCAUGUCGGCCAAGUUCGAACCGAAUGCGAAAUGCUCGAUGAGUAUUAAUCACAGAACUUCCGUAAUGAAUAAGCUCCUCCACAACAAACGCAUGAUGUUCACCACGCCACGCCAUUGCGCCUACUGACAAUGGCACGUUUACCGCUAUCGAUCGAUAUCCCCUCCAUGGACCUAUCCCCACCACAACUCACACAGCGCCCUCUCCAAAUACGGGAGGUCUUUUUGCCGGAUCCUGUAUGGUGUAUCCUGUAUGGUGUGUUCUUAAGUAUUUUUGAAUUUGGUGCCAGUAAAGAUGACGGCCUACAGCAGACAAUGGUAUUUUUUUAAUUUAGGCGCCAAUGACUAUAAAAAUAAGGAUAGCGCCUUUUCAAAUUUGGCAUGCCUCUGCAUAACCACUACUAUAUAAUGGUGUGUUCUUAAGUAUUUUUGAAUUUGGUGCCAGUAAAGAUGGCGGCCUACAGCAGACUGUGGUAUUUUUAUUGCAGAAAAUUCAUCAACGAAGCAAAAAACGCAGACUACUUGAGUACCCUGACCAGCAAAAGACUUAAAUUAUCUUUCACACUUGAUGCCAACUAUGGACCUGAGGCCGAAGAACUAUAAGAUGCCGAAUCAUUGCAACAGAGAUGCUGUGACUUUAUUGGUUUCUUACUAGUUACUGCAGAGGAACAAGACAAGUGUGUGAAGGAUAAAUGCUCACAAAGAGAUUGUCAGUUGUGGCAUGAUACAAGACACACUCAACUAACAGCGAGCAAUUUUGGAGUUGUGUGCAAACUAAAAGACACAACACCCUGCAUAAUUAGUUAAGAAAUUGCUGAACCACCAGCUAUGGAGUAUGGAUUUCUCAAUUAUUGUCUUUUCAUUAAAUGGUUUGAAAAGGACACUAGCUUAACUGUGGCUAUGUGUGGUUUAUUUGUAGAACUGUUUUAAAUGACUGCAUUAUAAGAAACUGGAAAUUAUUCGUGUAUUGCUUGUAAAUUUUAAUGCCAAACUAGUGAAACAAAUCACACCAAUGAUCACAUAGGGUAACCAUGUUCUAAAUCUGUAUGUACUAUUUCUUUUUAUUUUAGGACCAAUCCUGUCAUGCAAUUUUUUUGGUGGUUUCAAACACAGUUACAAAAUAUUUUAAAUGCCUAUCUAGUUUUGAUGCAUCAAUAAAGUGUAUUCCAAUAGGCAAGAUUCAAUUUAAUAAGGCAAAUAAUUUAAUUGAUGGUUAUUAAUGCAUGAUACAAUCUAAUAAUUUCAGUUUAUUAUAUGUGCAGUUUAUUUGAUAGUAAAUUCUCUUCGUUUUUCUAACUUAUUGUCCACAAUCAUACUAUGAUUGGAGUACAGUCAAGUGGCCUAACUUUGGUCCACUUAACAGGAUUUUGAUUGUCCCAAGAUUGUGAAAUAAAGUGGGCUAAAUCUGUGUAAUCAUUUUGUCCAUAUAUUGGAAAGGAACCAAUUUUUGGAUACGUAUCCUGUGUUAGAUGAAUUUAAAUAUUUAAAAUGUUAAUUUUUCUGGUGGAGGAAAGUUAACCAAGUCAGUGGUGUAACUUUGCACCAUAUUUUUAUUUUGCUAUUAUUUAUCAUGAAAAAGGUGGCUAUUGCUGGAGCGUAUAACUUUACUCCACAAAGUAGAUAUUAAUCUACACAUAUAGCUUACCAUUUGUGCCAAGUAUCAAGUAUUUUGUCAAGUUUUACCAUUAUUUUUGUUCAACAGUGAUAAUACAAAGAGUGAAAAUGUGUUGUCUAGAUCUGUUUAUUAAUAGAAAGAAAUUUUGUAGUGUUAAAUGAAGAUGUUAAAAUAAAACCUUCACACAUAAUGUGUUACAAUAUCUCUAUUUGUCAAAUUCUGCUAUUUUAUAACAUCUGCCAUGACAAUUGGUGAUUGCAUACUGUACAGUACAUGCAACAUGUUGCAACAGCAUUUCAUAUUUUUAAAACCACGUUUGACAAUAGGAGAGGUUCAUUAAUUUUAAAAUGUCCUCGGCCACUGACAGGUUCAAUGUUACAAGGGGGUAUCUUACAAAUAACAUCACAAGGUCUGUAAAAAUUUUUAUCUUUUAUGAUUUGGCCAGCGCCAGUAUCCACCAGAUGUUGCCAUGCAUUUGACUUUGUACAAAAGUUCAUUUUCUUCUUCAGCGGCUAGCAUGUUCACAGGUACUAUCUCCCAUCAACACAGUAGGGCUAGCAUGUUCACAGGUACUAUCUCCCAUCAACACAGUAGGGCUAGCAUGUUCACAGGUACUAUCUUCCAUCAACACAGUAGGCUAGCAUGUGUUUUGCUAUCAAUAAAAGCCGACUAUUCUCUACAUAUGUAACACGUGUUUCACCAUUCUCCCGUUUACAAUAUGUACUCAUUCCCAGAUCUUCUACUGUCUCUCUUCCACCACGACCAACUUCACCUUCUCACUUCCUCAUGCAACACAUCUUCCUCUCUUUGGGCAAUGUUACCACAUUUGACACUGUUACAAAUUAAGUUUGUUUUUAGGCCUCACUUCCCUACCACUUCUUGUCCGCACUGGUGACUUCUCUUGUUUCUGAUUAUGUCUCUUUCCUGCGUCUGGCCACCAUUUCCAUCCUUCCUCUUCCUCCUCAAUGUCCUCCGCCUCUUCUAUCCUCUUUUUGAGUUCUGUUUUGUCUCGUUGCAUGAUGACCAAUUUCUCUUGUUAUCUUGUUCCUCUGGAUUCUUGUCCCAGACUCCCUCCAUGUUCUGCCGUUGUCUCUGGGCUGACUCUCCAUUCCAAUCUUACCCCUCUCCUUGGUGUGUUGUUGAUCUCCUUCCCCUGACCCUGCUUUGUGGAUGACUUUGAGUUGGUGCCUGUUUCUUCUCAGUAUUCUUCAACCUACCGAGACGAGAUAUGAACGUGGAAUACAACCUUCUGAACAUACUGUGCCAUACCUCUGUAUGUCUGUAAUCCAUACUGUGUCCUGAGAAUAGAUUGGACUACGUUCUUGAACUCUAUGUGAUUUGUCGAAAUUUCUCUUUUGAUGCUGUUUUGCUUUUUGAUGAAUGGUUUGGAAGUCUUCCCUUCUAACUGUUUUCGGGCACAAUUUCUAUUGCAACACUGGUAGGGUGUCUCGGAGUGAUCGUCCCAUGAGAAGUUGUGCCGGACUAUAAUGAAGGCCUGAGAGUGGUGUGUUCCUGUAUGCCAGUAGACCUAGAUGCGGGUCUGCCGACCGCUUGAUGACAAUUUUUCAGAUUCUUGACCGCUGCUUCUACUUCCCCAUUACUUUGUAGAUACCGUGGGCUGCUGGUAACAUGUGUAAAGCCAUACUCUGUUGCAAAAUCUUUAAAAGCUUGCGACACGUACUGGGGCCCAUUAUCUGACCUUACUUCUCGCGGGAUUCCUUGACGUGAAAAAGCAGCUUUGCAUCUUGUUAUCAUGGCUUCAGAUGUAAUGGUUGGCAUUUCAAAUAUUUCUGGGUAUCUGGAGUAGUAAUCAACAAUAAUAAGGUAAUGCUUUCCGUUCCUCUCCGCUAGGUCCGUACCGACCACUUCCCAUGGCGCUUGUGGUAAAGGCGACGGUAUCAGGGGUUCCGAUCUGUUUGGUUUUUCUCUUAUGCAUGGUACACAGUAUAAAGGCAAUAUUUACGCUUUACAGAAAGUAAAUAUUUAAUUUCCUUUAAUAUUUAUUUAGUUUCUUUAUAUUUCAUUUCUUAUGUUUAUUUGGACUCUAUGAACAACCCAGACUGUAAAUUUCUUUCGUUAUCAUUUGUCUAUGUAUUACUCAAUGUUUAUUUUAUUUUUAAAUGUUGUCAAAGUUAGCAUAGCAGUAAUAUUUUGAAUUAACGAUUAAUUUAAAGAUGAACACGUCAGAAAUGGUCAGGAAAUUUAUGAUCUUUUGUUUUCAAAAACAAACUAAAGAAAAUCAUUUAUUAGUGAUGGAAAAAUAUUCUUUUAGAACGAACAGAGACUUGAUUGAGACAGCUGCUAAAACGCAACACAUUUAGAAAUUAAUAUAUAAUUUAAUACAUUUAUUCAAAGAUUGGAAGAAACAGCUACUGCUAUUAUUAGUUGAGUUUGUAAGAGAAGAACAAUAUUUACUCUACAGAAGAUUAUACUCAAAUACCAAGAUUUAAAAUAAUUAUUUCUAAGAAGAGACGAAGAAAGAAGAAAGAAGAAUCCUGUCAAAAUGAGAAGUCACAGUUCGAGCCCAGGAAGGAUGAACGUCGCACAGUCCAGUCCUGUUGCAGCCCAUAUCUGGAAGGACGGAGGUGUUACGGCGCGUAUUCCUGCCGCACGCUAGAGGACGGAGGAGCUACACAACUACCGCAGUCCUUGACGUGUUGAACCAAGGAGUCUCUGAGAGCCUAUACGUCUCGUGGGUAUCCUGCAUCAAGGUUUGGUCCCUUACCCCAUCAACCGAAGACUCGCUGUAUAGAAGUUCCUGAACUAAUUUUAGUUUAAGCGAAACGGACAUUGUUUUGACCGAUCUAGACUCUGUAAUAUUAUAAUGGAUAUUCCCCUGUAAAGAAAACAUUCUUAAUCCCGUGAUCCCGAUCAUGAUAGUAUGACUCAGUAUAGAUGGAAUUUGGUAGUGUAAUAAUGUGUUAUUAUCUUUUGCUGACAAGUACUGCUUGAACGUACCCAGUGGUCCACGCUAUACUGUACUGAUUUUAGUUAAGAAUUGAUAACUUACUAAUUUUACCUUUCAUUUUAAUGUGUGACUUGAAUUGUACGAAAUACUUUAAAUUACACUUAAAUAUUUAACAUUUGAUUGUAAAUAAAAAACAACUCACUCAAGUGUUAAUAGAAUUGUUGGAUGCUUGAAGUUGAUAGUCAUAUCAAAUUUCAUCUGUAGCUUAGAAUAAGGUAGAUUAAGGUAAUCUUCAUUUUAAGUGUUGUUUUGUAUAUGUCAAAGUGUAUUGUCACUGUCAUAACACGCACUACACAUGAAUAUAGACAGUACAUCUGGAUUUUGAUUACACUUUAUUCCAAGGUCUAAAGUUACGAUAUUAUUUAACGUACCUUCGAAACACCCUACCUUGAAUUUUACACACAAGUAUCUUAACACAAUUAAUUCUUGAUACUGAGAGAGUUCGGCUAGAAUUGAGGAAAUUAUUAAAUAAAUUAGAUAAUUUCAUUUUAGACACUAGCUGGCUCCACAACAGCUGGCGACGAGUGCUUUAAUAUCACUUGUAAUCCCAGGCCACCACACUGUAGCUUUGGCUCUCUCGAUACACUUCUUUAUCCCCAGUUGUCCGACAUGGAUCCUGUUCAAUAUUUCCCUGCGUAACUUGCCAGGUAUCACCAUGGUAACUCCUUUCAUCAAUAUGUCUUUCACCAUAGACAAUUCCCCCUGCACAGCCCAAUAUGCCCGACAGUUCAGGGCCAUGUCUGUGGGUUUGCGAGGCCAUCCAUUUCGAACCAGUUUUAUCAGUUCUUGGCAUGUUGAGUCCGAUGCCUGCGCUUGAUGUACCUCCUCCGUUCUGGUGUCCGAUGCCGGAAACGAUGUCAUAAAUUGGGACUCCCAUUUCUCAACCUCCUCACCCGGUGCUACAAGGGGAGCUCGGGACAAUGUAUCUGGGACGUAGAACCUUUCUCCUGCUACGUACUGUAUGGUAUAUGAAUAACGCAUCAACCUCAUCCUAUACCUCUGCAACCUUGGGGGCAGUUCGUCGAUGUUUUUCUUCCCCAAUAUCAAGACAAAUGGCUGAUGAUCUGUCUGGAGGAGAAUAUGUUUACCAAGGAUGUAGAUGUAGAAUGUGUCACAUGCCCAGGUUAACGCGAGUGCUUUUUCGAUCUGCGAAUGUUUUUGUUCCGUCCCCGACAGGUCUCUUGAUGCGUAGGCGUAGGCUACUGGUCGCCACUCAUUAUUCUCGUCCGGUUGUUCUAACACCGCUCCAAUCCCAUGUGAUGAUGCGUCCGCCCCAACUCGGCAAUCUUUAUUAGGGUCAUAGUGUAAAAGUAGUGGUGCUGAGCACAGAAGUUAUUUCAGCUGAUGGAAGGAUGAUUCUUGUGGUGGUCCCCAUACAAACAUAUUGUCCUGUCUUAAUAAUUCACGGAGUGGUUCAAUUCACGGAGUGGUUCUGUCACCUGAGCUAAAUUCGGGACAAACUUUCCCACGUAAUUAACCAUUCCCAACAAACGUCUCACUUCAGCAACCGACUGGGGGGGUUGGCAUUUCCUGAACUGCCCUAAUCUUUUCAGGGUCUGCCUCUAUGCCGUUGUCUGAUACUACGUGACCCAAAAAUUUGACUCUUCUGACAGCAAAUUGGCACUUGUCAUUCAGGGUGAUUCCCGCUGCCUUGAUCUACUGUAAAACUCUGUCCAGGUUUUAAAAAAUGUGCUUGUUCAUUCUCCCCAAAUACCAUGACAUCAUCCAUGUAACAUAUGACCCCCGGAGUAUACCCCAAGAUGCGAGACAUUUCUCAGUGGUAAAAUUCUGGGGCACUAGUAAUACAGAAUGGCAGUCUAUUAAAACAAUCUCUUCCGAAAGGCGUGAUGAACGUUGUGAGAAGUCUAGACUCCUUGUCCAAGGGCACUUGCCAAUAUCCGGAAUGAGCAUCCAACUUCGAGAAUACUGUUGCCUUAUGGAGCUAUGCUAGGGAUUCAUCUACCGAGGGGAUCAUCAUGUGUUCUGUUUGGACCCCCCUCAUUAAGCUCUGUAAAGUCAACACACAGUCUAAUUGGUCCGUUAGGCUUUGGGACCAGCACCACUCCCGCGCACCAAUCUGUGGGGCAGUCAACUGGUGAUAUAACCCCCAAUUUUACCAUCCUGCGUAUUUCUUGUUCCAGUUUUGGUUUUAACGGAAUAGGAACCCUUCUGGGGCAAGCUAUGCUUACUGGUGUUAUAUCCUUUUUCAGUUUUAUUGUAUAUGGUGUUUUCAUCUGUCCUAAACCUGUAAAUAACGAUGGGUAUCUCUCUCUUGGAUCGAAGGGUUCCUUGUAUCCUACGUCCGUCACCCACUUAAGAAUUCCCAGUGCCUCCACCGCAGGACGUCCCAGAAGUGGUUCUUUCAUUCCUUUAACAACAUAGACUUCCUAAUGGGUUAUUUUCCCUUCCCAUGACAAUUCAGUUUUAAAUUUCCCUACCAUAUCUAGAUGAGUAGCCUACUACAUGGACCCAAUAACUUCAUGUUUUUAUUGCCCCUUUCCAAUACCUAUCCUGUCUUUUCUGUGAAAGUGACAAAGUUAUCUUCUAACACUGUGACAUCUGCCCCAAUAUCUAUUUUGAAAGUGACUUCGACUUCUCCCAUUCUGAUCCUUGCCCUCUACGGUGGACUUGCUGCUGUCCUGGUAUCAACACUUGCCAAAAACAGACCCGUUCCAUGUAUCUCCUCCUGGAUUUCCGAUACCUGCCGAUUCCUAUCUUUAGGUGCCCGACAUACUCUUGCGAAAUGGCCUAUCCGGCCGUACGCUCUACUUUCCUUUAUUCUCGGUCACCUCUCUACAUGGCCUUUUUCAAAAGGACCUCCACCCCGAAAACAUUCUUUCCGACUAGUCGAGGUAUUUUAACUGUGCGUUGUAUUUUUAGGGUCCUGUUUACUGUUUUGGCUGUGGUUUUCAUAUCCCGCUUUUAGCCUAACUCUAUCAAUGUUCUCUCCUUCUGUUUGUUCCACACCUGCUUUGUAUGACUUCUUGUUGUUUCCUAACCGCCUCCGUUUGCCUGGCCUUUGUAACCGCACUUUAUAAAGUGAGGUUAGCAUCCAACUGUAACAUCUCCGACAGUUUUUUGUCCGUUAAGCCGACAACAAAUCUAUCCCGCACCAGUUCUUCCCGCAAGGUCUUAUACUCAAUGUUCUGCUAAUGUGUGUAAAGCUGUAAUAAAUGUAUCGACUGAUUCGUUUACCAUUUGCGAACGCUGAUUAAAUCCAGCCCUUUCAAAAAUUAUGUUCCUUCUUGGAAUAAAGUAAGAUUCCAGUUUCUUUGUAACAAACUCCUACGACUUUGCAUCUUCCUUUGAGAGGUUAAAUGAGUUGACAACCUCCUUUGCUUCCUGUCCCAUUAUAUAAAUCAAUGUACUAACCUGUACAUCACCCUCCUUUUCUGCUAAUCCGCUCACCAACCUGUAUCUCUGAAACCUUUUGAACCAGCUACUCCAUUCCUCCGACUUCCUGAAUUCAAAACUGCAAGGUGGCGGAACGAAGCUUGUAGUUCCACUUCCCGCCAUUAUCUCGCACUUUUACUUCUUCCUAUCUUGAACACUCUCGCAUUCCUUUAACCGAUUUAUUUCUCCCCCAGUUUUCUGGAUCCCACUUCUGACACCAUGUUUCGCUAUCAAUAAAAGCCGACAAUUCUGUACAUACAUAUAUUGUACCACAUGUUUCACCAUUCUCCCGUUUACAAUAUGUCCUCAUUCCCCGAUCUUCUACUGUCUCUCUUCCACCACUACCAACUUCACCUUCUCACUUCCUCAUGCAACACAGCAUGUUCACUGGUACAAUCUUCAAGUAACAUAGUAGGGCCAGCAUUUAUUGUUGAUGACACACACACGUCAACUACGUCCCGACUUUCCGAAGUAAAGUUUCUACUUCUUAUACUGAUACACUCCUGCCAGGUUCAAUAGGUAGUUUAAACUUUCUUUAUCGUUGAACCUUAUCCAUAUCAGAGGAAUGCACUUCUGAUAUGAAUGAUUUGAAACAUUCACCUACAUUGUCAGUUAUCUGCAAUGCUUCUUUAGCAUAUUGCGGCAAUUUUUUGAUAACCUUAUCUUUAUCUAUGGGAUGGAUACCAGUUGUUAAAAACCCUUUCACUAGGUUACUUGAUGCAGUUGGUUCGCCCAUAUCUAGUGUAAACUUUAGAAGCUGACAAAAAAGUGAUUUUGGAAGGGCAACAAAACGUUUUCCUUCUCUGGUUUGUCUCCAAUAAUACAGGAUUUUCCUCCAAUUAGAUUUUGGCAAUGAAAAAUAUGCCACAUCUAGAGGUUGCAGUAAAUGAGUGGAAUUGGGAAUAAGCAUGAUGAAAGAUAUAUUGUUUUCAGUACAUAACUUUAAGGUUUUCAAAGUCAAGUGUGCUGACAUGUUGUCUCCGAUUAACACUUUCUUGCCUGAAUGUUUCAAAGCAAAAGGAAGGAAGUGGUUCUCAAACCAAUCAUGGAAGACAUCCUGAUCAAUCCACCCAUGAAGUGUUAGAUUUAACCUAGUGCCUGGUGGAGCACCCUUCAGCCAGUCACUCCAUUUCUGUUUCCCUUUCAGGAUAACAUAAGGAGGAAGAAAUUCUCCUAAGACCAUUCCAAAAAACAUUGUGGUAAAACAAGACUUUGUGCUAUUCAAAAUCAGUUCAGGGUGGCGCGACCAUCGUCGAAACAGAAGUUUUUUCUUACUAGGCACAUAAUGGGAACCUGUCUCGUCAUAGUUAUAAAUGUUACAAGGUAGUACAUCCUCAAUUUCUUUUUCUAAAUUCACAAAUAAUGUUUUACCAUGUUUUCACUGACUUGAGCCCGGAAUCUUGAGAUAUUACUUGCGAUCCUUUGACCUAACUCAGCUUUGUGACGCUUUAGAAACAGUCUACCCCAAUCCAUGCCUGGUAAAUUGUUUUUAAACUGAGGCACUUCAGUGUUUGUUGAAUCUAAGUAACCUUUUAUGAUAAAGCGCACAUCACACAUUGAUGAAUGCAUUCCAAAUUCACUGCAUGUUAUAACAUGGUUUACAAAACUCUGCUCUUCUAUCUCGGUAAACGCCUGAGGCCUGCCUAUUGCUUUUUCGUGGCAUAGCUUUAACUUGUGAAUUAUGUUCCUUGGUAUACCAUACUCUCUUUCUACUUGGCGAUGACCAAUUUUACCUGCUUUGAUAUCCUCUAAUACCUGCUGUAGAACAGCAUCAGUAUAUGAUUUAUAUGGCCUGGUACCAGGUAACUUCUCUUUCCUCAGCUCAGACAUUAUACAGUCUUCUGUUAACAAAUAAUACAGUACAAUAAGUAAUAUUUUGAAAUAACCGCAUUUACAGUUUCAGUUACUUAGGCCUAAAUUAGCAUUCUUUGUACCAUAAAUACAGUAACUUUUUUACAAUAUUAAAAUAGGCUGUGAAAAGAUUUUGGUUUGUAUCAAAAUAUUAGGUUUACAAUAUAAUAUGUGGUAAAUUACACAGUCACAUAGGCCUACAAAACAUCUCAGAAACACAAAUUGUGUGUAACUUUGAGCCGGGGCAAAGUUGCCCUGAAAUGUUCUGAAUUGAAGGUGAGCAUGCAUUUGUAUUAUUAGUAAUUUUUUCAUUAUUUGUUGUUCCACUUUAUUUACUUACCAUUAAAGUGUUAACUGUGAAA